CUGGCCCGUCUUGAAACACGGACCAAGGAGUCUAACAUCUAUGCGAGUGUUCGGGUGUCAAACCCCUGCGCGUAAUGAAAGUGAACGGAGGUGGGAACCCGCAAGGGUGCACCAUCGACCGAUCCUGAUGUCUUCGGAUGGAUUUGAGUAAGAGCAUAGCUGUUGGGACCCGAAAGAUGGUGAACUAUGCCUGAAUAGGGUGAAGCCGCGGGAAACCGCGGUGGAGGCUCGUAGCGGUUCUGACGUGCAAAUCGAUCGUCAAAUUUGGGUAUAGGGGCGAAAGACUAAUCGAACCAUCU
rnacentral:rRNA from 1 species